rnacentral:lncRNA from 1 species
AGUCCAUGUGAGUACGUGUGGGGCAAGGGAGAAAGCAUCGCUCCUGCCGAGAGCGGGGACAGAGCUCUGGGGAUCGUCUGAGAGGAUGAUCGGAGGGGGAGAAAUCUCCUGCCGACGUGGCAGCUCACUGUGAGCUGAGAAAUGGGCAGAGAAGUGGGCCCUGCGGGGGGGAAAGGCAGGAGCCAGCCCCUGGCAGGCCGCAGCUGAGAAAAAGCUUCUGGGUGAGGAGGCAGGCGUGUGUGCAGAGAGCGGGGGCAGCAGUGCCGCUGCUCAAUGAGGCGGGGGGGCACGUGGAGCCACAGGGCAGGCCCUGAGGGAAAGAAAGUGCCGGGAAGGGAGGGAGAGGGAUGGCAGGAAGGGAAAGAAAAGAUGUCCACAGUGACGCAGAUGCUCUGCCCCAGGUCCUGCGGAGGUCAGUCGCCUCAGACAAUGCAUGGGAGCGCAAGAGGGCCUUGCAGGCGUGCUCCCAGCUGCUGGCUGCUUGUGAAGAGCUUCGAACAGAAGAUGCCUGCAAGCACUUUGGCUCCUUGGUGGGAUUGCUGGCGCCUCUGACCUGUGACCCCAUGCCCGCGUCCCGCCAGUUGGCCGUCACCUGCCUGAGCUCCCUUCUCCGAAUCCAAGCCAAGGUGACCAACGCGCUCAUCAAGACGGGAGACAUCGGGAGCCUGCGUGAGGGGCUGAAUGCCGGCAGCACCAUCUCUCAGCUCCAGACCUCGUCCAAAAUCGCGAGGGUCUGUUGCAGCAGCUUCCCCCUGGAGCGCAGCGUGGACUUCAUGACCGCCAUCAGGGAGACCUUCCGGGAGGCCAAAGGGAUGCGUGCGCGUGCUGCUGGGAAGUGGAUGAUCACCUUUCUGCAGAUGCACGGGAAGGACAUCCACUGGGAGGUGCCAUCGAUCCUCCACAUCCUGCGCAGCUGCAUGCGCUCCAUGCAGCAGACCAUGCUCCUGCCCAUCCUGUGCCAGGC